GGAGGCCUGGGGUGGGGCCCACCAGCCCCAACCCCCUGAGCCUCGGCUUCCCCCACAGCCGCCCUCCUUGGCCUCCAGUGUGCUCCCUCCGGAGGCCAAGCCCCCCGGGGGCAGGGUAGGGGGGACAGGACGCCAUCUCUGAUGCUCAAGGCCUCAUCACGGAAAACUGUUUUGUCAGGGAAACCAACUGACAGCUCCCAGUGGCCAAAGCUGGGAUGGUUUGAGCAACAGAGUAAAUAACAUAUUGGAUGACAACCCGCGAUAUUAAGCAAACACCCAUGAAUCCACGCUGGUCCAAAUAAAGGACUGAAUAAACCGCUGGGGCAGAAGAGAAACCGUCCGUGCAGAAGAAUCCCAAAUAAUGUGUGUGGAUCCCCCGCUGCCAAGGAUGGGACCCUCACUCCCAGCCGUCAGGUGUGGCUGCACCUCCUCCUGGUCCCCAUUCCGGUUCUGACAAGCACACCUCAGCCAGGUGAGCGCAGACAGCAUCGCAGAGAGGGCCGUCCUGCUACACACCCGGGAGUCCUCCUUCACACUGUCAAGGUCAUCAAAACUGCCACAGCCCAGAGGAGCUGAAGGAGAUGUGAUGAGCAGAUGUGUGUGCGAUCCGGAUGGGGUCCCAGAAGAGAAAAAGUGAAGCGGGUACAGACUAAAAAAACCUGAAUAAAGGAUGAGCUUCAGUCAAUAAUAAUGGAGCCAUGUGAACUGAAUCAUUGUGACAAAUGUCCACACUCAUGUCAGACGUUGGCAUUAGGGGACGCUGUGGGUGGGGUCGUAUAGGCGAACUCGCUGUACUAUCUUUGCAGCUUUCUUCUGUAAAUCCCAAACUGUU